rnacentral:rRNA from 1 species
GGGUUGUGAGGUUAAGCGACUAAGCGUACACGGUGGAUGCCCUGGCAGUCAGAGGCGAUGAAGGACGUGCUAAUCUGCGAAAAGCGCCGGCGAGGUGAUAUGAACCUUUGACCCGGCGAUGUCCGAAUGGGGAAACCCAGUGUGAUUCGUCACACUAUCGUUAACUGAAUACAUAGGUUAACGAGGCGAACCGGGGGAACUGAAACAUCUAAGUACCCCGAGGAAAAGAAAUCAACCGAGAUUCCCCCAGUAGCGGCGAGCGAACGGGGAGCAGCCCAGAGUCUGAAUCAGCUUGUGUGUUAGUGGAACGGUCUGGAAAGUCCGGCGAUACAGGGUGACAGCCCCGUACACGAAAGCACACAGGUUGUGAACUCGAAGAGUAGGGCGGGACACGUGGUAUCCUGUCUGAAUAUGGGGGGACCAUCCUCCAAGGCUAAAUACUCCUGACUGACCGAUAGUGAACCAGUACCGUGAGGGAAAGGCGAAAAGAACCCCGGCGAGGGGAGUGAAAAAGAACCUGAAACCGUGUACGUACAAGCAGUGGGAGCACCUUCGUGGUGUGACUGCGUACCUUUUGUAUAAUGGGUCAGCGACUUAUAUUCUGUAGCAAGGUUAACCGUAUAGGGGAGCCGAAGGGAAACCGAGUCUUAACUGGGCGUUAAGUUGCAGGGUAUAGACCCGAAACCCGGUGAUCUAGCCAUGGGCAGGUUGAAGGUUGGGUAACACUAACUGGAGGACCGAACCGACUAAUGUUGAAAAAUUAGCGGAUGACUUGUGGCUGGGGGUGAAAGGCCAAUCAAACCGGGAGAUAGCUGGUUCUCCCCGAAAGCUAUUUAGGUAGCGCCUCGUGAACUCAUCUUCGGGGGUAGAGCACUGUUUCGGCUAGGGGGCCAUCCCGGCUUACCAACCCGAUGCAAACUACGAAUACCGAAGAAUGUUAUCACGGGAGACACACGGCGGGUGCUAACGUCCGUCGUGAAGAGGGAAACAACCCAGACCGCCAGCUAAGGUCCCAAAGUCAUGGUUAAGUGGGAAACGAUGUGGGAAGGCACAGACAGCCAGGAUGUUGGCUUAGAAGCAGCCAUCAUUUAAAGAAAGCGUAAUAGCUCACUGGUCGAGUCGGCCUGCGCGGAAGAUGUAACGGGGCUAAACCAUGCACCGAAGCUGCGGCAGCGACGCUUAUGCGUUGUUGGGUAGGGGAGCGUUCUGUAAGCCGUUGAAGGUGUGCUGUGAGGCAUGCUGGAGGUAUCAGAAGUGCGAAUGCUGACAUAAGUAACGAUAAAGCGGGUGAAAAGCCCGCUCGCCGGAAGACCAAGGGUUCCUGUCCAACGUUAAUCGGGGCAGGGUGAGUCGACCCCUAAGGCGAGGCCGAAAGGCGUAGUCGAUGGGAAACAGGUUAAUAUUCCUGUACUUGGUGUUACUGCGAAGGGGGGACGGAGAAGGCUAUGUUAGCCGGGCGACGGUUGUCCCGGUUUAAGCAUGUAGGCGGAACGAUUAGGUAAAUCCGGUCGUUUAUUAACGCUGAGGUGUGAUGACGAGGCACUACGGUGCUGAAGUAACAAAUGCCCUGCUUCCAGGAAAAGCCUCUAAGCAUCAGGUAACAUCAAAUCGUACCCCAAACCGACACAGGUGGUCAGGUAGAGAAUACCAAGGCGCUUGAGAGAACUCGGGUGAAGGAACUAGGCAAAAUGGUGCCGUAACUUCGGGAGAAGGCACGCUGAUAUGUAGGUGAAGCCCCUGCGGGUGGAGCUGAAAUCAGUCGAAGAUACCAGCUGGCUGCAACUGUUUAUUAAAAACACAGCACUGUGCAAACACGAAAGUGGACGUAUACGGUGUGACGCCUGCCCGGUGCCGGAAGGUUAAUUGAUGGGGUUAGCGGCAACGCGAAGCUCUUGAUCGAAGCCCCGGUAAACGGCGGCCGUAACUAUAACGGUCCUAAGGUAGCGAAAUUCCUUGUCGGGUAAGUUCCGACCUGCACGAAUGGCGUAAUGAUGGCCAGGCUGUCUCCACCCGAGACUCAGUGAAAUUGAACUCGCUGUGAAGAUGCAGUGUACCCGCGGCAAGACGGAAAGACCCCGUGAACCUUUACUAUAGCUUGACACUGAACACUGGUCCUUGAUGUGUAGGAUAGGUGGGAGGCUUUGAAGCGUGGACGCCAGUCUGCGUGGAGCCGACCUUGAAAUACCACCCUUUAAUGGCUGGUGUUCUAACGUAGACCCGUAAUCCGGGUUGCGGACAGUGUCUGGUGGGUAGUUUGACUGGGGCGGUCUCCUCCCAAAGAGUAACGGAGGAGCACGAAGGUUAGCUAAUCCUGGUCGGACAUCAGGAGGUUAGUGCAAUGGCAUAAGCUAGCUUGACUGCGAGAGUGACGGCUCGAGCAGGUGCGAAAGCAGGUCAUAGUGAUCCGGUGGUUCUGAAUGGAAGGGCCAUCGCUCAACGGAUAAAAGGUACUCCGGGGAUAACAGGCUGAUACCGCCCAAGAGUUCAUAUCGACGGCGGUGUUUGGCACCUCGAUGUCGGCUCAUCACAUCCUGGGGCUGAAGUAGGUCCCAAGGGUAUGGCUGUUCGCCAUUUAAAGUGGUACGCGAGCUGGGUUUAGAACGUCGUGAGACAGUUCGGUCCCUAUCUGCCGUGGGCGCUGGAGAAUUGAGGGGGGCUGCUCCUAGUACGAGAGGACCGGAGUGGACGCAUCACUGGUGUUCGGGUUGUCAUGCCAAUGGCAUUGCCCGGUAGCUAAAUGCGGAAAAGAUAAGUGCUGAAAGCAUCUAAGCACGAAACUUGCCCCGAGAUGAGUUCUCCCUGACCCUUUAAGGGUCCUGAAGGAACGUUGAAGACUACGACGUUGAUAGGUCGGGUGUGUAAGCGCAGCGAUGCGUUGAGCUAACCGAUACUAAUGAACCGUGAGGCUUAACCUUACAACGCCGAAGCUGUU